rnacentral:rRNA from 1 species
UCUGGUGAUUAUAGCUUGAAGGCAACACCCGUUCCCAUUCCGAACACGAUGGUUAAGCUUCAACACGCUGAUGGUACUGCAUGGGUGACUGUG